ensembl:lncRNA
UUUCCCAGCGUCACCUCUAAGUGUCGCCAAAGGAACAAUAGCUGUAGAAACGUGCGUACGACAGCUCUGGAGCUGGCGUGGGGACCGCACAUUUUUGCGGUCAUUUCACGUUUUGUACAUCUGAACGUGAGCGUGGAAAAGGACGUACGCCACGUUUUUGUGCGUACGAACUUUAGUACAUGAGGCCCCUGGUAUUUUGCCACAGAGGCUACUUUUGACUUCAGUAUUCCUAUAAAGCCGACGUGGUACACACUGCACAGUCUCGUCUCAACGGUGCAAGGAGUCUGUUUGAAACCUGCAUCCUCUUGUGAUUCGGCUGAAAAUGCUGGCAAAAGUGGAAUAUGGGGGAGUCCAAAAAUACAUUAAAGUUCCUCAAACUGAUGACAAUUUCCAUUUCCUCCAGUUUCUUCAAGAAGCAACAGACAAAUUUAGUCUGCAGGCUCAACAUCUAUCCGAGGGUGUGUUAGCCUUGACUGAUGCAUCAGAUACCGAGGUUGAUGCAGACACAUUUGAUGAGCUGAUAAAGUCAGGGUUCCGAAACUUCAAGGUUGGAUACCGCAAGUACCCAGUAACGGAGUUGGACAUUGAAUUGGUGGAAUACAACUCGCAGUCCUCCGUAUUGUCAGACUCCACAGCAUCACCAGUUUCAUUGCCAGGACCCCCCGCAUCACCAGCUUCUACAAGUUCAGGUUCGACAAUCAUCCUCCCAUCCACUAAAAACCGGAAGAGAGGCCUGGUAGAGCUGGAACGUAAUGAAGCAAGACAGGAGGAUUCCCCCCAGAAGUGUCAGGACUAGUUAUGCACUCGGAAUUGUGACCCUUUUCCCAUAUCUACAAGAUCCGUACUCAGAGCAUGGAUAUGAACAUUACUAUGACCCUGAGGCGAAUACUGGCUAUCUUGCUUGGAGACUCAAGACAGUCCAACGCAACACGCACGAUGGCCUCCGUGGGCAUUCCAGGCCCAAUCCCCAGGGCAGUCCAACAACCCAACGAGAAUCUUUGUUG